CCAAAUUAUUAGUAAGUAAUCCUUGAUUGUGUAUCAGUGUUUUUAUUUUAGAUCUCAUUGCCACAUUAAAUUGCCACGUUAGCAAAAUAGUAUUCUGCUAUUGAUCUCAGAUCAUUUAUUAAGUGUAAGAAAUUUUGUGAAACACCACACAAUAUUAACUCACAAUAUUGCACCAUUAAUCGUAAAGAGUGAAAUGAAGAAAAAUGAUGAUCAUCGAAAAGAAAACGACAGACGACCACUUCUGUACAUAAGAUGGCACUUUUUUAAAAAAGACUGCAAGGAUAUUUUUCUUAUAAUUUGUGGUUCCGCAGUGAUUUUUCUUAUUUUAUUAUAUUUUUUGCCCUACCGACUUUUUUCAGCAUAAUAUGGAUUCAACACCAUUUUGGAAAUUCUGCAAAGACGACUGUAAAGAAAUUAUGGUGGUUCUAGGAAUCGUAACAAUUUGUGUGCCAAUCUCCUUGCUUAUAGUUUAUUGGCUUCAGCGUUUUUUAAAAAAUUCAAGAGAAGAUAAUUCACAAAUUCAUCAAAAUAAACACAAAAAUGAAGAACCUCAGGAAACUAAUAAAGGAUCAAGACUAAAAUUUACAGUAGAAGAUCUUCAACUUGGAAAAAACAGUUACUAUGUAUUUAAGAAUUUCACUUAAAAAUGUUUUGUAUUUAAUUUUGCAUUUUUUUGUAGAUAUUUAGUUUUUUAGACACUUGUAUGCUUUGUUGAAGAUUAUAUUUGAUAGAAUCAUAUGUACUUGUGUUUUAUUUGAAAUUUAUACAGGAUGUUC